rnacentral:rRNA from 1 species
AAAUUGAAGAGUUUGAUCAUGGCUCAGAUUGAACGCUGGCGGCAGGCCUAACACAUGCAAGUCGAGCGGAAACGAGUUAUCUGAACCUUCGGGGAACGAUAGCGGCGUCGAGCGGCGGACGGGUGAGUAAUGCCUAGGAAAUUGCCCUGAUGUGGGGGAUAACCAUUGGAAACGAUGGCUAAUACCGCAUGAUGCCUACGGGCCAAAGA